AAUUGAAAGAUCUUUUCUCCUGAGAGCGCAUCAUUUCUAGCUAAAUCACUGCUCUCCAGGUCUGCAUAAACUGCUCUUCAAAUACAGAAAGCCAGAGAAAAUCUGGCUCAUUCCCAGUGAGCUGUCAUUGACAUUCACACCUCUGUCUCCAAGCAUCUAACAGUCUGGGUAUUGUCAGACAUGGUAACGACAAGACUUGUCAGAAACACUUCCUGUGGGCAUCAUCAUGUCUGGUGGUCAAGAGAACAGGUUAGGAGAUGUCUUCCCCAAUGUCCCUAUAAUGUCAAGGUGGUCUCAUCUGGUGACUCCCUUCCUAAAUAAUGCUUUAGCAAAGCUAUGUAAAUUAGUGUAGCCCCAUAGUACAGGGU
rnacentral:lncRNA from 1 species